rnacentral:rRNA from 1 species
UGCGCAGGCGGGCUUGUAAGUCAGUGGUGAGAUACUGCCGCUCAACGGUAGAACUGCCAUUGAUACUGCAAGUCUUGAAUAUGGUUGAGGUAGGCGGAAUGUGUCGUGUAGCGGUGAAAUGCAUAGAUAUGACACAGAACGCCAAUUGCGAAGGCAGCUUACUAAGCCAUUAUUGACGCUGAGGCACGAAAGCGUGGGGAGCGAACAGGAUUAGAUACCCUGGUAGUC